UACGGGGGGAGCAAGCGUUGUUCGGAUUUACUGGGCGUAAAGGGCGCGUAGGCGGCCAGCACAAGUCAGUUGUGAAAUCUCCGAGCUUAACUCGGAAAGGUCAACUGAUACUGUGCGGCUAGAGUGCGGAAGGGGCAACUGGAAUUCUUGGUGUAGCGGUGAAAUGCGUAGAUAUCAAGAGGAACACCUGCGACGAAGGCGGGUUGCUGGGCCGACACUGACGCUGAGGCGCGAAAGCCAGGGGAGCGAACGGG
rnacentral:rRNA from 1 species